AUAAACUCUUUUAGCCCGUAAAAUAACUUACCAUGAAAAAAUAGAGAAUUCAUUUUACGAACCAACUGCAUCCCAUGUUUCUUUGCCUUUGAUCUCCUUCAUUCUCCGAUCAACUAUCAUCUUCUUGUCACCAACAACAAAAUCAACAGAUUUUUCCAGCAAAAUCAAGGGAGGAACUCUAGGAUUCUAAGAUUACCAUUUAAGAGGUCGAACUCAACUUUUAGGGGAACCCAGCUUUUAGAGUCUAAACCAUUUCCAGAUUACCAUUCGUCGGAUUCUACUCGCUCGCAAAGCGGAGUCCGGUUGUUUUCGACUUAUCGCCGAAUUGUCGAACUCAGCUUUUAGAGUCUAAACCAUUUCCAGAUUACCAUUCGUUGGAUUCUACUCGCUCGCAAAGCGGAGUCCGGUUGUUAUCGUCGACUUGGAAAAAAACUUCAGCUUGACAUUAAAUAUGCAAGGGAAGUGCCCCAAAAAUAGCCGUCAACUUGGCAUAUAUCAGAUUUGAUCUUGAAGUUAACCAUCUACAACACCACCUUGAUUAUCACCAUCAUAGGCACGCACUACUGGGAUCUUCAGUAGCAGCUGUUUGAUAUUGGAUGCUAGCUGCAUUAGCAUCAUCGUCACCACAUUCGGAUACCGAGCUAUGUUGGUGGGUCCAUGAGAUGAAGCAUAAGAAGAAGCAGAGGCUGCAGCAGCUCUAUCAGCGCUCCGUUUAAGCCUACGAAUGUGAUUAAGAAUCAAAACACACUCGUUAAGGGCAAGCUCAAUGCCACAGUUUGCUUUCAUAGCUGAAAGCUUCUCCCAAGUGCGUCUUCUCCCUUGGUUGACUCCCUUUUGAAGCGCAUCACCAUUGCUGCCAACCAGAAUAGAACCAUCGACCAGCUGGUUUAAGCGCAACGUGCACAACCACAAUGGAGUAUGAGGUUGGCUUGCCUCUUUUAUAUCAUAUGAUAUUGUUAAGUGUGAUGGCUUGUUGCCAACAAGCCAUUGCUUCAGU